AAAAAAUUUUUAUAUAAUACUAAAGCUCCAGUUCAAUAAAAAAUAUGAUCUUCCAACUAGUCAGAAAAAGGAAAAAUAAGGAAAUAAUAACGCGAAAUAAUUAUCUAUGAUAUAUAUAUAUAUAUAUAUAUAUAUAGCUAUGUGUUCUAUUUUUAUCAAGUGAUGAUAUUAAUUCAUACUCAUAUUAAAUUUCAAAAAUAUUUUAUAUCAUGAUAAUUACAAUAAUAUUUAAUAAUUCUUUCACAAAUUUUGAAAAAUUAGCUUUUUAAUAUUAGAUUAUCCUUUUAUUAUUAUCCUUUUAAUAUUUAAUUGAAUCUUCUCUGUAGAAAGAUUAAUAUUCAUAUAGUUCAAUAAUUGCUUCUAUUAUUAAUAAUUGUCCUGCUUUAUAACUUAAGCUUUUCAGGAAUUUGAAUAUCAUUAAUAUUGUAGCAAUGAUGACAUAGAUCAUAUGCUGUAAUCGGUAAAUAUAUGUAUAUGUAUAAUAUAAAUAUAUGUAAAUAUAUGCGUGCACACAUAUACACACACGUGCGCGCGCGCGCGCGUGAGCGUAAGAAGUACAAAAUAUGAAUUCGGGCGUGUGCUGGAGAAAGAAAAAAGAAAAAUAACACGAGAAAGAAAUAGAAGGUUCGGGGAAAAGAUGAAGCUCCACUCAACCAAAGAUUACACAAUCCCCGCCUCAACCUAACCUUUCUUCCCCACCUCUGUUAUGCGCGCGCGUGAACAACGAAGGUAGGAGUCGAAUACGCGAGUAAGGCAAGUUAAGGCAGGUAAAGCAAACAGGCAAGGCAGACAGGCAGGCAAGCAGGCAAGCAGACAGGCAAGCAAGCAAGCAGCCGACCAGCAGGGCACAAUCUGUUGAAGAAUUGACAGGACCUACUCAAAAGUUUAAAAUACCCUACUAGGCCGUUAAACAUGAACCUGGUCCACGUGGCGGACAGAUGCAAAAGAUACGGCGGCGUCGGUUUUUGAAGAGUCGUAAAAGGAAUAUUCUUGUUACUUUCAAUGCUAUCUUCAAUGUAUAAAAUUCUCAAUAUAUUACUAUAAUAUAUGGAAUAUUAUAUAUAUGGAAUAUUUCUACAUUUUUUUUUCAUUUUUCAUUUUUUCCAAUUAUUAUAUUAUAAAUUGCUUUUUCUUAUGUUCCAAAUACGCAAUGAUCAUUUAUUCCUUAUAUGGAUAAAAAGUGAUUAAUAUCUCUUAUAUAAUAAGUUAUAAAGUAAAUUUCAUAGAUGGAAGUAUAUUUAUUCUAUCGAAAAAUUGUUUUUUUAAGAAAUUGUAUGCAUAGAAAGAUGAUAAUAGAAACGGAUUCAAAAUAUUAUAAA